AAGAAGCAAAGAAACAACGGAGGGACAGGAAGGAAGGGAGGAAGGAAGGAAAGCAGAAAGGAGGAGAGAAAGCAGCUUCCAGAACCAGGCCCCGGCAGGGAGUCCAGCGCGGGGACACAGGACGACUCGAUGCUGUGCGCCGCCGCGGCCCAGCUCACCCGGACCUUCUGGUCCAGGCAGUGAGGACGCAGCGGUCACCGGGACUCAAGGCCAGCGCACGGCGGUGACAGAGGACAGACCUGCAGCGCCCCUCCCGCCAUGGCUCCCACCCCGGCUGUCCCUGUCUUCUGGGCCACCCUGAGGCCUCCUCAGCGGCCCGUCAGCACCCACCUUCCAGGCCACCUACCUAAGCCCCGCUCCUGAGACCGCCUGCCACCGGCCUGCACGACAGCAGCACUGCUGCUGAACCCACACCCCCGACAGCCUGGCUCGCGGGCCCUCUGCCCUGCCCCGGCUGCCCAGCACGACACUCACACCACGUCCAACAGCAUCGAGGGUGCCCGAGUUCCAGCCGGCCGCGUCCCUGCGGCUCCAACCCCGAAAUGAAAUCAACGUCUCCAGACUUGUCUGCCACCGGGCCACCAGAAGCGUCUCCUCAGAGGCCGUGAGGGUCAGGGCCAUGCACCUGCUCACCACGGUCCUGGGAGGCCAGCGACACCACGGUUGGCUUGCACGUGGAGUGCCGACGUGGCCUGGGCUGGUCCUGUAGGACUCAUACAAACACCACAGCACCGCGCCCACAUCCUGCUUAGCUCAGAAACGGCCAUGCUCCAUCCUGUCCCUUCCUCUUUUGCCAGAGGGGGCGAGGGUCCACGGGGGCGAUCAUGAGACAGGACACUCGGGCUGGCCGCCGUGCCCCACCUGUCCCUCCAGAGAGUCACUGGCCCUGUUCCGGCAGCUGAGCCCAGAGAUGCCCCCACUGGGUGGUGGCCCACCUGAGCCCCCCUCCAGAGAGCCACGCCGGCCCCACAGGGGCCCGAGGAAGCCGAGCCCCCCAGCCCCGCACACCCCAGCCCCCCGCCAGCUCCGGGCACACGCUCUCACCUCCCAGGACUCUGCAUGUACUUGUAUUAUUUCAAUACAUGUAUUUCCUGAAAUUCUGUGACAUCCUACAUUAAGAUUUCUCACCAAUAAAACAAAAAUUUCUUGUC